AGUUCCAGACAUAUCAUUACUUUUAAAUAUGAGAUGACAAACUAAAGGUUUUAAAAAGUCCUGAAUAACUGAAAUGGACAAAAAUACACAGAUUUAUUCAGAAUGUCAUACCGAUGAAGAUCAUCUAAAAAUAUUUGGAAAAAUCAGAACUAUGGAUUUCAAUAUGGGACAAUACCCCUAAUGCGCCUUGAAAUGAGGAACACAAAAGUCACGUGUACACAAAAAAUCUCUGUGUAGUGAUAUUUGACACAUUUCUAUGAUAAACAAAUAACUGAGCUGAACCAUUAGUGUUAAUUUAGAAAAUAAGGGAACACAGAAUAAAUGUGUAAUAACCAUGGAGCUAUGAAAUGUGUUCAAAGUAUUAAAAUUUCAAAGAACUUAUUGUGUUAAAAUUGGGAUUUUUUACCAUGAGGAGCGACAUCGCAAAAGGAUACUCGGGGUUUGCUAAAUUACGGAAAAAUGAAUCACACUUCGUACCCCGAAAAUUUAACCACAUAUGUAAAAAUGUCUCAGCUUCGAAACAAGCCAUCAUACAUAUACAAGUUUACGAUAUGGGCUGAGCAACAGAAGAAAACGUUACCAUUACGGCCUAUGGAAUAACAAUUGCGCAUAUUGCCCCAUCUUGUGAGCUAGGAUCCAGAGAUGUCUUAAGCUAAUUUCACCUUGUACACCACAGAAAAUUGUUAAAAUGAUGUUCCAGACAUAUCAUUACUUUUAAAUAUGAGAUGACAAACUAAAGGUUUUAAAAAGUCCUGAAUAACUGAAAUGGACAAAAAUACACAGAUUUAUUCAGAAUGUCAUACCGAUGAAGAUCAUCUAAAAAUAUUUGGAAAAAUCAGAACUAUGGAUUUCAAUAUGGGACAAUACCCCUAAUGCGCCUUGAAAUGAGGAACACAAAAGUCACGUGUACACAAAAAAUCUCUGUGUAGUGAUAUUUGACACAUUUCUAUGAUAAACAAAUAACUGAGCUGAACCAUUAGUGUUAAUUUAGAAAAUAAGGGAACACAGAAUAAAUGUGUAAUAACCAUGGAGCUAUGAAAUGUGUUCAAAGUAUUAAAAUUUCAAAGAACUUAUUGUGUUAAAAUUGGGAUUUUUUACCAUGAGGAGCGACAUCGCAAAAGGAUACUCGGGGUUUGCUAAAUUACGGAAAAAUGAAUCACACUUCGUACCCCGAAAAUUUAACCACAUAUGUAAAAAUGUCUCAGCUUCGAAACAAGCCAUCAUACAUAUACAAGUUUACGAUAUGGGCUGAGCAACAGAAGAAAACGUUACCAUUACGGCCUAUGGAAUAACAAUUGCGCAUAUUGCCCCAUCUUGUGAGCUAGGAUCCAGAGAUGUCUUAAGCUAAUUUCACCUUGUACACCACAGAAAAUUGUUAAAAUGAUGUUCCAGACAUAUCAUUACUUUUAAAUAUGAGAUGACAAACUAAAGGUUUUAAAAAGUCCUGAAUAACUGAAAUGGACAAAAAUACACAGAUUUAUUCAGAAUGUCAUACCGAUGAAGAUCAUCUAAAAAUAUUUGGAAAAAUCAGAACUAUGGAUUUCAAUAUGGGACAAUACCCCUAAUGCGCCUUGAAAUGAGGAACACAAAAGUCACGUGUACACAAAAAAUCUCUGUGUAGUGAUAUUUGACACAUUUCUAUGAUAAACAAAUAACUGAGCUGAACCAUUAGUGUUAAUUUAGAAAAUAAGGGAACACAGAAUAAAUGUGUAAUAACCAUGGAGCUAUGAAAUGUGUUCAAAGUAUUAAAAUUUCAAAGAACUUAUUGUGUUAAAAUUGGGAUUUUUUACCAUGAGGAGCGACAUCGCAAAAGGAUACUCGGGGUUUGCUAAAUUACGGAAAAAUGAAUCACACUUCGUACCCCGAAAAUUUAACCACAUAUGUAAAAAUGUCUCAGCUUCGAAACAAGCCAUCAUACAUAUACAAGUUUACGAUAUGGGCUGAGCAACAGAAGAAAACGUUACCAUUACGGCCUAUGGAAUAACAAUUGC